rnacentral:rRNA from 1 species
UACGGAGGGUGCAAACGUUGCUCGGAAUCAUUGGGCGUAAAGCGAACGUAGGUGGCCUUGUAAGUCGGGUGUGAAAGCCCUCGGCUCAACCGAGGAAGUGCAUUCGAAACUGCAAUGCUUGAGUAUCGGAGAGGAUCGCGGAAUUCCCGGUGUAGAGGUGAAAUUCGUAGAUAUCGGGAGGAACACCAGUGGCGAAGGCGGCGAUCUGGACGAAUACUGACACUGAAGUUCGAAAGCGUGGGGAGCAAACAGG